CAUUGGGCGUCAUGUACUACUCGUAUUGCAAGACCUCACUCGUUUAUCAAGUUAAAAUUUAUUAGAAAUAUUUGCUCAUCUUGUGGAACACUCAGGAACAAGUUACUCGCAAUCCAAGGUUUUAGCGUAAUUGGAUUAGCUGCAGCCACUGGGAACGGUCCAGCCGUGAGGGGACUCAGGAAGUGAAGGCUCAGAGUUUCGGCUGCUGCAAGGACCCGGCGCCACCGGGUUUCAGUACGUCAGAGGAAUGGGUCGGUUGGCAUUCCGCGUUUUCAGACAGCAGGGGUAGAUGUUGGGGCAAGUUCCGAUGAAGAAUUCCCCUGUUUUACAGCGCCUCCGGCAGCGGGCGGUCCCAUAGCCGCAUAUCUUGUCUGUGUCAAAUUCAUUUCUCACUAAAUAACAGAAUAAAUCAGUGCGAUUAUCAUGCCUGAAGACCAGGAGGCGGGACUUUGGCAGUGGUUUCUGGGGGAUAGUGACUGAACUGACUUGAGAGAAUACCCUGGAACCCUGGUGGAACAGAUUUCCCAAGCCACCUCCUCCCUCUGCUCUCCUCGCUGAUGGACCCCACCAUCUGAUUCUCUUCCAGAUGAGAAGAGAAUUUUAAACAUUAAAAUUAAACAUUAAUUGGCUCUUGUCACAUCUCUUCUCAAAAUCCCUACAAUAAAAUCCCUGCUAUCACUUUUUGGUUGAAUCCAAGCAAGCCCUUUACCAUGAGCUUCGAGCAGCGCUGGCCUCCAUUCAGGGCCCAACGCUCUUCUCCCUGGAAUACUCCCCCCUCCUCCCACGAAUGACCUCCUGGAAUCUCCAUGUCACAACGUUGGGGGAUCUCUCCCUGUUUUUCCCAUGUGCCCAAGCGCCCUGGAAGUUUUUUAUUCCUUCACGACAUCUUUCCCAAGUUGUAAUUACAUGAUGUUUUCAGUGACUUGGUCUUCCUGAUUGAAUUCUAAGUUCCCCAGGUGGGAGACGAUGUUCAUGUUCCAUUCACAAAUUACGGGCUCGCCCAGUGCCCAACAUGUGCUUAAAAACCAACCACCUGUUGAGUGAACGUUGGGACAGAGAGGACGAGCAUAAAGCAGAAGCGACAUGAGCAGGGGAGAGCAGAACAGACAGAGGAGAGGAGAUACCUACCGGGCUCACUGGGCUGAACCCUGGGACUUUGAUUGCAGCUGCUACAUGUGAAAAACCUGAAAGUCUCCACUCCCAUCCUUAAGUACCAAACUGGAAAGAACCCGGCUGUCCUCCAGCAGGUGAAGGGUUCAAUGAAUCCUGGUACAUCCACCCGGUGGACUACGAUGCAGGGACAAAAAGGGAAGACCUACUGAGACACGCACCAAACAUGGAGAGUCUCCAGACCACUACAGUGAGUGAAAAGUCCCCCAGAAGUUACCUACUGUAGGAUUCCAUUUAUUUUAUUUUCAAAUUCAUUUAUCUUGAGGGACACAGAAAGCGCAUGCAAGCAGAGGAGGGGAAGACAGAGAAGGAGAGAGAGAAUCCCAAAUAGGCUCCUCACUGUCAGUGCAGAGCCUGAAGCCGGGCUUGAACUCACAAACCGCGAGAUCAUGACCUGAGCCGAAACUAAGUCGGUCGCUGAACUGAUUGAGCCACCCAAGUACUCCUGUAGGAUUCCAUUUAUAUGACGUUCCUGAAGAACAAGUUGUAGAAGUGAAGAGCAGAUAAGUAGUACCCGGAAUUAAGGUGGAGGCGGACACAGGAGGGAAGAGGAUGUGGCCCUGAAAGGGCAACAUGGCGGGCGUGGGUGGGGGCAGGGAUCUCUGUGGUGAUGGACUUGUUUUGUAUCCGUGUCAGUAUCUGGUGUUCGUAGUGUAUUGUCCUCUGGUUGUGCUAUUGGGAAAACUGCAUUAAACGGUAGAGAUGUAUCUGUAUUGUAUUUUACAACUGUGCAUGACUUUGUAAUUAUCUCAAAACAGAAAAAUGUCAUAAAAAAAGGUUGUUGCUUCAA